GUUUGAUCCUGGCUCAGGAUGAACGCUGGCGGCGUGCCUAAUACAUGCAAGUCGAGCGAACGGACGAGAAGCUUGCUUCUCUGAUGUUAGCGGCGGACGGGUGAGUAACACGUGGAUAACCUACCUAUAAGACUGGGAUAACUUCGGGAAACCGGAGCUAAUACCGGAUAAUAUUUUGAACCGCAUGGUUCAAAAGUGAAAGACGGUCUUGCUGUCACUUAUAGAUGGAUCCGCGCUGCAUUAGCUAGUUGGUAAGGUAACGGCUUACCAAGGCAACGAUGCAUAGCCGACCUGAGAGGGUGAUCGGCCACACUGGAACUGAGACACGGUCCAGACUCCUACGGGAGGCAGCAGUAGGGAAUCUUCCGCAAUGGGCGAAAGCCUGACGGAGCAACGCCGCGUGAGUGAUGAAGGUCUUCGGAUCGUAAAACUCUGUUAUUAGGGAAGAACAUAUGUGUAAGUAACUGUGCACAUCUUGACGGUACCUAAUCAGAAAGCCACGGCUAACUACGUGCCAGCAGCCGCGGUAAUACGUAGGUGGCAAGCGUUAUCCGGAAUUAUUGGGCGUAAAGCGCGCGUAGGCGGUUUUUUAAGUCUGAUGUGAAAGCCCACGGCUCAACCGUGGAGGGUCAUUGGAAACUGGAAAACUUGAGUGCAGAAGAGGAAAGUGGAAUUCCAUGUGUAGCGGUGAAAUGCGCAGAGAUAUGGAGGAACACCAGUGGCGAAGGCGACUUUCUGGUCUGUAACUGACGCUGAUGUGCGAAAGCGUGGGGAUCAAACAGGAUUAGAUACCCUGGUAGUCCACGCCGUAAACGAUGAGUGCUAAGUGUUAGGGGGUUUCCGCCCCUUAGUGCUGCAGCUAACGCAUUAAGCACUCCGCCUGGGGAGUACGACCGCAAGGUUGAAACUCAAAGGAAUUGACGGGGACCCGCACAAGCGGUGGAGCAUGUGGUUUAAUUCGAAGCAACGCGAAGAACCUUACCAAAUCUUGACAUCCUUUGACAACUCUAGAGAUAGAGCUUUCCCCUUCGGGGGACAAAGUGACAGGUGGUGCAUGGUUGUCGUCAGCUCGUGUCGUGAGAUGUUGGGUUAAGUCCCGCAACGAGCGCAACCCUUAAGCUUAGUUGCCAUCAUUAAGUUGGGCACUCUAAGUUGACUGCCGGUGACAAACCGGAGGAAGGUGGGGAUGACGUCAAAUCAUCAUGCCCCUUAUGAUUUGGGCUACACACGUGCUACAAUGGACAAUACAAAGGGCAGCGAAACCGCGAGGUCAAGCAAAUCCCAUAAAGUUGUUCUCAGUUCGGAUUGUAGUCUGCAACUCGACUACAUGAAGCUGGAAUCGCUAGUAAUCGUAGAUCAGCAUGCUACGGUGAAUACGUUCCCGGGUCUUGUACACACCGCCCGUCACACCACGAGAGUUUGUAACACCCGAAGCCGGUGGAGUAACCUUUUAGGAGCUAGCCGUCGAAGGUGGGACAAAUGAUUGGGGUGAAGUCGUAACAAGGUAGCCGUAUCGGAAGGUGCGGCUG
rnacentral:rRNA from 1 species